UGAUAGUGGACAAACACAGAAGGAUAUUGC
rnacentral:piRNA from 1 species